CCAUUGCUUAGUUGGUAAAACACAAGGCUCUUAACCUUGUGGGAGUGGGUUCAAGCCCCAUGAUGGG
rfam:Triticum urartu cultivar G1812 contig1135996, whole genome shotgun sequence.